rnacentral:rRNA from 1 species
CAGCAGCCGCGGGAAUACAGAGGGUGCGAGCGUUAAUCGGAAUUACUGGGCGUAAAGCGCGCGUAGACGGUUUUGUAAGUCAGGUGUGAAAUCCCCGGGCUCAACCUGGGAACUGCAUUUGAUACUGCAUGGCUAGAGUAUCGAAGAGGGAAGUGGAAUUUCCGGUGUAGCGGUGAAAUGCGUAGAUAUCGGAAGGAACACCAGUGGCGAAAGCGACUUCCUGGUCGAAUACUGACGUUCAUGUGCGAAAGCGUGGGGAGCAAACAGGAUUAGAUACCCCCGUAGUCCCUGUCUCUUAAAA